CUACGUGCCAGCAGCCGCGGUAAUACGGAAGGUCCGGGCGUUAUCCGGAUUUAUUGGGUUUAAAGGGAGCGUAGGCCGGGGAUUAAGUGUGUUGUGAAAUGUAGACGCUCAACGUCUGACUUGCAGCGCAUACUGGUUUCCUUGAGUACGCACAACGUUGGCGGAAUUCGUCGUGUAGCGGUGAAAUGCUUAGAUAUGACGAAGAACUCCGAUUGCGAAGGCAGCUGACGGGAGCGCAACUGACGCUUAAGCUCGAAGGUGCGGGUAUCGAACAGGAUUAGAUACCCUGGUAGUCCGCACAGUAAACGAUGGAUGCCCGCUGUUGGUACCUGGUAUCAGCGGCUAAGCGAAAGCAUUAAGCAUCCCACCUGGGGAGUACGCCGGCAACGGUGAAACUCAAAGGAAUUGACGGGGGCCCGCACAAGCGGAGGAACAUGUGGUUUAAUUCGAUGAUACGCGAGGAACCUUACCCGGGCUUGAA
rnacentral:rRNA from 1 species